rnacentral:rRNA from 1 species
AUUGAACGCUGGCGGCAUGCCUUACACAUGCAAGUCGAACGGCAGCACGGGGGCAACCCUGGUGGCGAGUGGCGAACGGGUGAGUAAUGCAUCGGAACGUGCCCAGUAGUGGGGGAUAACCCGGCGAAAGCCGGGCUAAUACCGCAUACGACCUACGGGUGAAAGCGGGGGACCGCAAGGCCUCGCGCUAUUGGAGCGGCCGAUGUCUGAUUAGCUAGUUGGCGGGGUAAAGGCCCACCAAGGCGACGAUCAGUAGCUGGUCUGAGAGGACGACCAGCCACACUGGGACUGAGACACGGCCCAGACUCCUACGGGAGGCAGCAGUGGGGAAUUUUGGACAAUGGGCGAAAGCCUGAUCCAGCCAUGCCGCGUGCGGGAAGAAGGCCUUCGGGUUGUGAACCGCUUUUGGCAGGAACGAAACGGCGCGGGCCAAUACCCCGCGCUAAUGACGGUACCUGCAGAAUAAGCACCGGCUAACUACGUGCCAGCCGCCGCGGUAAAAC